rnacentral:rRNA from 1 species
UACAGAGGUCCCAAGCGUUGUUCGGAUUCACUGGGCGUAAAGCGCACGUAGGCGGAUCGAUCAGUCAGGGGUGAAAUCCCAGGGCUCAACCCUGGAACUGCCUUUGAUACUGUCGAUCUGGAGUAUGGAAGAGGUGAGUGGAAUUCCGAGUGUAGAGGUGAAAUUCGUAGAUAUUCGGAGGAACACCAGUGGCGAAGGCGGCUCACUGGUCCAUUACUGACGCUGAGGUGCGAAAGCGUGGGGAGCAAACAGG